AUACGGAGGGUCCGAGCGUUAAUCGGAAUUACUGGGCGUAGAGCGCGCGUAGGCGGCUAUAUAAGUCAGAUGUGAAAUCCCUGGGCUCAACCUAGGAACUGCAUUUGAAACUGUAUGGCUAGAGUAUGGUAGAGGUGAGUGGAAUUUCAGGUGUAGCGGUGAAAUGCGUAGAGAUCUGAAGGAACAUCAGUGGCGAAGGCGACUCACUGGGCCAUUACUGACGCUGAGGUGCGAAAGCGUGGGUAGCAAACAGGAUUAGAAACCCCAGUAGUCC
rnacentral:rRNA from 1 species